rnacentral:lncRNA from 1 species
UACUUUAAAUCAGAUAACUAAAGUAUAAAAUUACUUUUACAGUAACACGUGGGCCCCCAACUGAUCAAGAAGGUGUAGGGCUACGAACCCUUACUUUCUAGGAUGCAACUCCGAGAUUAAUUCUCAUCUUAAUCAACUAUCAACAAACUGUCCUGAGCUUGAAAAUGGAUAGGAAGAGGGGUGAGAUUAUGAUUACAUAAUCCUAGUGAGUAAACAGACACCAUCUAAACUAUCUAAAGGCGAGUAAAGGGAGACAAUUAAAAAUAAUUCAUUUCAG